UAGGGAAUCUUCCGCAAUGGGCGAAAGCUUGACGGAGCAACGCCGCGUGAGUGAUGAAGGUCUUCGGAUCGUAAAACUCUGUUAUUAGGGAAGAACAAAUGUGUAAGUAACUAUGCACGUCUUGACGGUACCUAAUCAGAAAGCCACGGCUAACUACGUGCCAGCAGCCGCGGUAAUACGUAGGUGGCAAGCGUUAUCCGGAAUUAUUGGGCGUAAAGCGCGCGUAGGCGGUUUUUUAAGUCUGAUGUGAAAGCCCACGGCUCAACCGUGGAGGGUCAUUGGAAACUGGAAAACUUGAGUGCAGAAGAGGAAAGUGGAAUUCCAUGUGUAGCGGUGAAAUGCGCAGGGAUAUGGAAGAACACCAGUGGCGAAGGCGACUUUCUGGUCUGUAACUGACGCUGAUGUGCGAAAGCGUGGGGAUCAAACAGG
rnacentral:rRNA from 1 species